CGGAAUCAUUGGGCGUAAAGGGUCCGCAGGUGGCCAAUCAAGUCGGCUGUUAAAGACCGGGGCUUAACUCCGGGCAGGCAGUGGAAACUGAUUAGCUAGAGUACGGUAGGGGUAGAGGGAAUUCCCAGUGUAGCGGUGAAAUGCGUAGAUAUUGGGAAGAACACCGGUGGCGAAAGCGCUCUACUAGGCCGAAACUGACACUGAGGGACGAAAGCUAGGGUAGCGAAAGGGAUUAGAUACCCCUGUAGUCUUAGCUGUAAACGAUGGAUACUAGGUGUAGCUCGUAUCGACCCCAGCUGUGCCAAAGUUAACGCGAUAAGUAUCCCGCCUGGGGAGUACGCACGCAAGUGUGAAACUCAAAGGAAUUGACGGGGGCCCGCACAAGCGGUGGAGUAUGUGGUUUAAUUCGAUGCAACGCGAAGAACCUUACCAGGGCUUGACAUGUCGCGAAUCUAGCGGAAACGUUAGAGUGCCUUAGGGAAUGCGAACACAGGUGGUGCAUGGCUGUCGUCAGCUCGUGUCGUGAGAUGUUGGGUUAAGUCCCGCAACGAGCGCAACCCUCGUCCUUAGUUGCCAAUAUUAAGUUAGGCACUCUAGGGAUACUGCCGGGGACAACUCGGAGGAAGGUGGGGAUGACGUCAAGUCAGCAUGCCCCUUACGUCCUGGGCGACACACGUUCUACAAUGGUUGGGACAAAGGGCAGCAAGCUCGCGAGAGUAAGCGAAUCUCAUCAAACCCAGCCACAGUUCAGAUUGCAGGCUGCAACUCGCCUGCAUGAAGUAGGAAUCGCUAGUAAUCGCAGGUCAGCAUACUGCGGUGAAUUCGUUCCCGGGCCUUGUACACACCGUCCGUCACACCAUGGAAGCUGGCUACGCCCGAAGUCGUUACCCUAACCCUAAGGGGAGGGGGAUGCCGAAGGUAGAGCUAGUGACUGGGGUGAAGUCGUAACAAGGUAGCCGUACCUGAAGGUGUGGCUGGAUCACCUCCUUU
rnacentral:rRNA from 1 species